rnacentral:tRNA from 1 species
CAGCUCGUAGGCGGCCAGGCCCACGACCCCGCCCUGGAACGGCGGGCCGUCGGGGUCGACGGCCUGGGGCGGCCCGAUCAGCUCGGCCAGGGCGGC